UACAGAGACUGCGAGCGUUAUUCGGAUUCACUGGGCUUAAAGGGCGCGUAGGCAGGCCGCCAAGUCGGGGGUGAAAUUUUUCGGCUUAACCGGAAAACAGCUUCCGAUACUGGCGGUCUCGAGGGAGGUAGGGGCAGAUGGAACUUGUGGUGGAGCGGUGAAAUGCGUUGAUAUCACAAGGGACUCCGGUGGCGAAAGCGAUCUGCUGGACCUCUUCUGACGCUGAGGCGCGAAAGCCAGGGGAGCAAACGGG
rnacentral:rRNA from 1 species